rnacentral:rRNA from 1 species
GAUGAACGCUAGCGGCAGGCUUAAUACAUGCAAGUCGAGGGGCAGCACGGGUAGCAAUACUGGGUGGCGACCGGCAAACGGGUGCGGAACACGUACACAACCUUCCUUUUGGUGGGGGAUAGCCUUUGGAAACGGAGAUUAAUACCCCAUAAUACAGGGGGCCCGCAUGGGUCUAUUGUUAAAGAUUUAUUGCCAGAAGAUGGGUGUGCGUCUGAUUAGGUAGUUGGCGGGGUAAAGGCCCACCAAGCCGACGAUCAGUAACUGGUGUGAGAGCACGACCAGUCACACGUGCACUGAGACACGGGCCCGACUCCUACGGGAGGCAGCAGUAAGGAAUAUUGGUCAAUGGGCGGAAGCCUGAACCAGCCAUGCCGCGUGGAGGAUGAAGGUCCUCUGGAUUGUAAACUUCUUUUAUCAGGGGCGAAAAAAGGCUUUUCUAAGUCGUCUGACGGUACCUGAUGAAUAAGCACCGGCUAACUCCGUGCCAGCCGCCGCAGUAAAAC